rnacentral:lncRNA from 1 species
UGGUUAUAAUAUUAAAGACUAUUUUUUAUCACCUGCUCAUUUCUCUUUAGAUAAUUAUUUAGCUGAAUUCUUUCUUGUGAAAAAUGAAAAUAAAAACUACCAAACUAAUUUUCAACAUGCUUUUGAUAAUAUAAUACAUGAAAUUCAUAAAGGUGCUGAAAGCGGCGAACAUGACAAAUCUAAAAUGGAUGGAAAAGAAAAAUCACAUAAACACGAUAACAGUAAAUUGUCGAUCGAUAAAUUAAAUGAUGUCAUUAAAAAAGUAUUAUUCAACAAAAAUUUAGAUGUCAUAAAUAUAAAAAAAGUUUGUGAGUUACUACAAACAAAUCCGUUAUUAAAUUGGACAGAACAAGAUAUAGUUGAAUACUCUGUUAAAUUAUUAAAAACACUCAAUGUUCCUAUACCUCCUAGAUACCUUGCAACCUUUUUUGUAUACAUUUUAGAGAAAUUAAAAAUACCAGUAUUAAAAGAUUAUACUUCAAGUACUUAUGUUCAUGUAUAUGACCUAUAUAUUGAAAACAAUGAUUUACUCUUACACAUAGAUGCUAUGUAUAAACACAUUUUAAAUGUGUUCUUUACUGAAAAUAACUACAACACACUAUCAACAGAAAUAGAAAAUAUAAAUACUGUUAAAGAACAAAAUAAAAAAAUUAUGAAUAUGUCAGAUAUAUUUCCACAAUCGUUUUAUUCAAAUUUAGAAACUACAUAUGACUUUUUAUCAUACCAGUAUGGUCUAAUCAUUUUUUAUAACACCUAUAAUACGUUUAUAAACUUUUUAAAAGAAAAAAACGAAUUUAGCAACAUGUUUAGUGCCACGCAUAAAGGACAUCAAAUCACUAAACUAGAUCAAUUUAUAAAUGAACUUCUUAAAUUAUCCAAAGUAGGUCCUUGGAGUGUGUUAUCACAUAGUAGUAGUAGUGCUAUUAGUAGCGGUAGUGGUAUUAGUAGUGGUAGCGGUAUUAGUAGCAUUAGUAUUAGUAGUGGCAGUGAGGAUAGUCAGAAUAUAAUUACUGACAGAUCAUUGAGUGAACAGGAGACAUACGAAGAUUCAGAUACACUCUUUACAUAUACACACGAACAAAAUAAAGAAUUACCAAACUGGGCUACUAAACGCAACAGAAGAUCAUUAAGCGAAUCAUAUAUAAAUAGUACAAUGAAUAAAAUUAAUAAAAAAAUUCCAAAUGUAUAUGCGUCUGACGAUGCUACAGUAGACCUUGACCUAGAUUCAUUAGAAAGAGAAAAAAGUUCUAAAAUGUACGAUGAUGUACUAGAACUUAAAGUAGACUCAGGCAUAGAACAUAUUGUAUAUGAAGAUAAAGUACCUGCAGAAGUUUUGUAUGAUUUUAUAAGUCAUUUUUCUAAAAUAAAUGUAAACAAGUUUAACAAUUUUGACACGUAUUAUAUGUCCGUUAAUGAAUUCAAAACUGAAAACUUAGAAGAAGCAAAAAAUGAACUUAUAAAAGAAAGGCAAGAACGAUACAAUAUUCGAGAAAAUAAAAAAAAAGAACAUGACACAUUACAAUAUGACGAAGAAUCUAUUCAUGUCAUUAAUCAUUUUGAUAAGUUAAUAAAAGAUUUAAGAAGUAAACUUAGCUUUAAUUGGGACGACAUUGUAAAACAAUAUGGUAACGAUUUAUCGUCAUCUUCGACAUUGUCAUCAUUAACACUAUCACCAACACCACCAUCAACUGACACUUCACUAUUUUUUGAAGAGGACGAAGAAUUAUUAAAAAAAUGGAAACAUCUGCAAUCUGAAAAUGCAAUAGAAACAGACGAAUUUAAAGUAUUGAUUUCGAAUUAUAUAACAACUAGAAUAAACCAAGCAUUAAGUACAAGUGUUAACAAACUAAAAUUUUAUAUUCAAAAUUUUUAUGAUUCUAUGAAAAACUUUUAUUCAGAACAAACAGAUAUAAACUACAAUGAAAUAAUUAAUAAAAUGCAUACAGAAAUUCUUACAACUAAUUCUGAUUUAUUUAAACAAAAUUUUCAAAUUCUUAACAAUUUUACGUCACAAAAAAUCACAUCAAAGAAAGACACAACUUUAAAACAAGAUAUUCAAGACAUACUAAAUAAAUUCGAACAAAAACAAAAUGGACAAAAUAUAACAUUUUAUGAUAAAUAUUUUAAAGACAUGCAAAUGUUAAAAAAAAAUCUUAUUAUUAAAUUGUCAACUGAACAAAUUGAAGACUUUACCAAACAAGUGAUCGAACAAACAACGUCUAUUUAUAAUACAGUUAAACAUAUAUAUAACCAUAUAAUGUAUUUAACAUCCAAAUAUUUAACACCUGAUGAGGCUAACUAUGCUAAAAGCAUUAUUACAAGCAUAUUUAAUGAUAAUAUUUUAACUGAGGAUGGAAACUUUUUUAACCAAAUCAACAAAACCAUAGCUGACGUACUUACGAAUAUUGAAAAUUUUUUAUAUUUACAUUAUAAAGAUAUAUUAACAAAUAUAUAUAAAAAACAACAAAAUGUUAUGACAGUAACAAUAAUUAAUAUUAGAAAAUCGAUUACGAUACUUAGAGAUUAUAUAUAUACUUUGUUAAAU